rnacentral:rRNA from 1 species
GACGAACCGUGCGAACGUUGUUCGGAAUCACUGGGCUUAAAGGGCGCGUAGGCGGGCCACCAAGUCCGGGGUGAAAUCCUCCAGCUUAACUGGAGAAUAGCCCUGGAUACUGGUGGUCUCGAGCGAGGUAGGGGCAGCUGGAACUUCCGGUGGAGCGGUGAAAUGCGUUGAUAUCGGAAGGAACGCCGGUGGCGAAAGCGAGCUGCUGGACCUCUUCUGACGCUGAGGCGCGAAAGCCAGGGGAGCAAACGGG